rnacentral:rRNA from 1 species
CAGUCGCCGCGGUAAGACAGAGGAUGCAAGCGUUAUCUGGAAUGAUUGGGCGUAAAGGGUACGUAGGUGGCCUUUUAAGCGUAGGGUAUAAGGCAAUGGCUCAACCAUUGUUCGCCCUAUGAACUGGAAGGCUUGAGUGCAGGAGAGGAAAGCGGAAUUCCUAGUGUAGCGGUGGAAUGCAUAGAUAUCAGGAGGAACAUCAGCGGCGAAGGCGGCUUUCUGGACUGCAACUGACACUGAGGUACGGAAGCGUGGGGAGCAAACAGGAUUAGAUACCCCCGUAGUCCCUGUCUCUUAUACA